rnacentral:pre_miRNA from 1 species
CAUAUACUCCCUCCGUCCUAAAAUAAGUGACGCGGAUUUGUAUAGAUUCUUAUACAAAUCCGCGUCACUUAUUUCAGGACGGAGGGGGUAUUUA